UCCAACAACAUAAAACUGGACCCUGCUCAGAACUGCAGCAGCAUAUCCACUCCAACUGUCAGUGGAAAUCAUUGUAACAAAAAUCUCACUAAUGACAUGUGUAUUAACUUUACACCAGGGUAAAUAUGUCUUGCAUCCAUUGUACUGUUAGUGUAAUCUUAAGAAUCCUACGUAGUGUACAUCACAGGUUAUUAUUUUUUCUUACAGAGAGAAAAUAUGUAUCUCCUUGACACAUAAUGAGAAGGUAAGGAUGGAAUUUAACUGCACUCAAGAACACCCAGGCAGUAUCUGUAAUGACACGGAUCUGCAGUUCCACCCAGUAAACAAAACUUGGAUUGAUGCAUUGGAGCACUGUCGGCAAGAGAAUUCCUCCUUGGUUGAAAUCUACAAUGACACAGUCGGUGUUAAAGUUAAAAAUCUGCUGCAAAAUAAAACAGAGUCACACACAGGGGUGUGGGUUGGCCUGGAACGAUCCAUUUUUGGCAAAAAUCCUGAAUGGAAAUGGAUUUCAGGAUUAAAGGUUUUAUAUUCUCAGUGGAACAACAGUUUUCCUGUGAACUCCUUAAACAACCACUGUGGAAAGAUCAUCUUGGUUAACGAGGCCAAAGAAACCAAGUUGCUGGAUGCAAACUGCCAUGAAAAACUGCCAUUCAUCUGUCAACGUAAGUGGCUGUUUUGAUUAAGAUUAGGUCAGGUAUAAGCACCCGAAUGUUUUUAAAUCUCACCUUUCUUCAAUUGCCAGGUCAGAAGAACAAGACUUACUCUACUAAAGCACCUUGUCUGAAUCCAGUGCUUUGCAUUGACAUCAGAAAUGACAACAGCAAUAAAUGCAAAUAAGUCAAUCAAGAACAGGAUAUAUUACAUCUCCCUUGUCACAAUGAGAUGAAAUUCCUGAGGAAACAGAUGAAUGACCCAACAUAUCCAGUGUGUAAAUACUCUCUUUAAGCCACUGUUGUGUUUCACAGGAAAACUAUUUUGGAUGUCAUUAUUUUUAAUAGUUUGUAUUAUUGUAGGUUCUUUACCUUAAAUUACAAACGCCUUGAGGCAAGUGUUGUUGUGAUUUGGCACAAUAUAAUUAAACUGAACUGAAAAUAGAAUUAUUUGUGACAGAUUUUAGACAUGCCAUGAACCUGGGAUAGUUUACCCAAGGUCAUAGUUUUGACUUUCUUGCUGUGCUAUUUAAAUAUCAAGUUUGAUUUUUUGGUUGGUUCUUUAGUACAUUUAGUUUUGUUCCUAGCUCUUUUAAAGUUUGAUUCUGGUGUGUUUAAAUCUCCUUACCUCUGUUGUGAACUGCAUACAAAGUUUGUGUUAAUGAAAUCAAACGGAUGCAAAUCUCUUUAGAAAAAUACACACUCACAAGACAAAAUUAAAACAAACAAACAAACAAACAAACAAACAAACAAAAAACCAGACUGCUCAAAGUAAAGCUCAAAAGUAAAGCAGCAAAGUAAAAUCCAAUAAACAACAACAAUGUUGGGCCUUCCAAAAUUUGAAUGCACAUGCUUUGAAGUCACAGGUCUUGUUAAAUAAUUAAACAUAAAAUGCUUAAUCUAUGGAGGCAGAAAAAACUUUCAAUUAUUGUCUGCUGGAAUAUCAGCUGAGUUCAAGUUACAAAUUUUGGGUCAUUUCUUUGUUUGUGCUACUUUUUGAAUGAACUGCUUGCUUAUUAUUUGCAGACAGCUUUAAUUUAUAAGUCUUGCAUCAACUGAUCAGGAAUGACAGUCACCUUUAUACUGACAUGGAGUGUAUUUGUUAUAUAUAACAAUCAUUUGUAGAUUCAUAGUAAUUACUCUCGUAUAGGUUUUUAGGCUAAUUUUAAAUUUGUGCACUGUUUUUGUAAUUUGUUUAUUUUUGUAUUUUUAUAUUAUAUUUCUGAUUCACUUUCUCUUCCUGACCCAUGUACUGCUGUAACUGUGAAUUUCCCUGCUGGGUGAUUAAUAAAGUCUGUGUCUAUGCCAAA